CCCGCGACUCCUCGCUCUGUCCCCGCCUAUAGUUGAGCUUCGAGGGCUGGGCGGGACCUGGGGCCGCUCCAGCUCGCGAGUUGUUCAAUAACCAACUCCGCCUUUUCAUUGCCUUCUCGGCAUUUCUGUCGAUUGCGGAACACGCAGCGGAGCGCUCAGCUCGAAACGGGAGGAGGGGGAGAUCUAUUUCUGCCUUGCCCAUUAGUCGGGAAAGCGGUAUGUGGUCGCUGCCGCCGGUUUUGAUCGGCAGGUAUUUUCGACAACUCUCCCUUUCCCGGGGUGGUGAAGUGGGCGAGAGGCCGAUGCAUUGCUGAAUGAUGUCCAAAGCCACAAGGAAAAGACCCGCCACAAACAUUCGAUUCUGAAAGAGGAGUCGCCUUUUCAGAACCUGCAUAACGGGACCAAGCUUUCUGCAAUCAAGCUGGCUGAACAUUAUGGAGUUGAAAUCUAACACGUCCAGAGGGUGUCAGAUUGGGGAGGACAAUCUAUUCUUUUCCCUCAUCCUGAUGUAUGCAUAAACCGAUCCGCCCUUCCUUGAUUAUACUUCAGAAAAUAAAUCCAAAGGUUGGUUUGUUCUUAUCAUAGGGACUCCUGCAGUGAAGAUAUGAAUAUGCUGAUGGGCUCCUUAGGAAGACACUAAGUUGUGAUGUCCCCUCCCAUUUAUCACUUACAGCACUGAGGAGCUGACUUCCAUUGUUCUAGCCUAGACUGGAAGGAGUAAAAUGUUCCUGGACCAUGAGUUGCUUUUGGAUUCUCAGGCAAUGGCUCCAACCAGAAAUGCUUUUGUCCAGCAUCACAACUGCAUUAUUUCCUGUAUAUUGCACCUAGAUUACUUUGACAUGCUUGUGAAGGAAUGAAGAGGGGGUUACUGUCUGCAUUUGGGGAAAGCAGCUGCAGUCAGGCAGAAAUGCUUCCCAUCCCUACUUCCUCAAGGCUCAGCUCAGCAAAGCUCACCUCAAUUCAUGCUUUUUCUUAAAGGACUGUAAACCAUGAGAAUAAAAUCCAUUCAUUUCCAGUGUCCUCACAACAAUCUAUGCUGGUGUUCCAGGUCUCUGGCUAAUUGAGCCACAUUCUGGAGUUUUUAGGAACGUGUCAAAGUCCAUAGGCAGCCUUACCCCACACAGGGACUUGGCUUACAAGGAGAGUGUAGGAGAAAAGAAGGAGAAGACAACAAGCACACAAGGAUAUUGGAAGUGGUGUCUGGGAAUUUAUGUGGUGUCUGGGAAUUAUUACAGGCAAGCAAGAGAGCUAUCAGUUAAUUGCCAGAACCACAGGCUGCAGCAAGAUGCCCAUUGUGGUGUGAUUCUUACCUGGAGCCUGACUUAGAGUUUGGGCUGGAGUUUGGUAGCAACCAGAAGAGGAGCAACCAAGAUGAAGCAGCACCUAAUUCCAGCCCGCACAAGAACUUUGGGGGGAGCCAAAAGUUGUAUGCCACUUUACAGACUUGGAGAUUUUUUAUUGUUUAAGGGCUGAGUAUUAAAGCUGUAUUUAUGUCACUCAUCAAGUUGCAAGGGCCUCAAAGGAUGGAGCUAACCCAGAACAAUUGCCUAUUAUUGAUGAAGAUUAAGAAGCAGGUCCAGGAAAAGCAGCAAUAUUGCUUAAAAAUGUCAAAACAUUGUAGUCAUAUCCUUACUGUAAUGAAGGAAGACUAUAGUCAGCUGGGACCGUAGUCAACCACUAAUCCAACAGAGAAGACUCCUGCUCCAUCUACACCUUGUGCCAGACUCCGCAUGGAAGCUGUCAGUUGACAUCAGUGUGAAGGAAGGGCAGGUGAUCAAGCAAAUGAAAGCAGCUUUCAGCACCAUUAAUCGUGGUAUCCUUGUGAGCUGUCUCAGAGGGCUAAGGGAAAAGGCCAGUAUUCUUUAAUGAUUUUCUUUCCUGAAGGAGCAGUUUCAGUCAGUAGAUGGAGGAGGGAAAAGAUGGAUUUCUAGGUCCCUUGGUUGUCACCUUGAUGAUCUCCCCACUCCAUUUCAACAUCUGGGACAGUGAUGGCUAACCUUUUCCGGAGCGAGUGCCCAAAGUGUGCCCGAACACCCAAAAUCGAAUGCGUGAGCGGCCCCCGUGCAUGAGCCCCGCUAUCCACACAUGCGCACGUCCCCACCUGCCCCCUGCUUUCCUGACACCCCUCCCGCAUGCAUGCGCAGCCUCUGCAUGUGCCCCGCCCUCCAUGCAUGUGCAGCAGAGACCUGAAGACCAGCUGGCCAGAGGAGGCAUGUGCACAUGCGCAGCGGAGCUGAACUGGGGUGACGGCUCACAUGCCAUCAGAGAGGGUGCUGUGUGCCACCUCUGGUAUGUGUGCCAUAGGUUCGCCAUCACGGAUCUAGGGAAACUGUUGGGGGAGAUCAUUUUAUUAGCACGGACAGAUGUCUGAUAGUUGCCCAGUGAGUUUCAUAAUCUCUGCAUUGCCUAUAGAGUUUUUGGAAUGUGCUAUUUUGUGGCUUGUGUCUCAUUCUUCUUCAAUUGUUUUUUAGGAAGGGUCACUUUGCGAAACAGAGAAUAAGAGAGGCAGAGAUUUAUGCUGUUUAUUUUUCUUGAUCUGGUUUGCUCUGUUUUGUGUGAUCCUUCAUCUUUCCCAAAUCCAAACACUUUCAUCAUUCCUUAAACUCUCAGUCUGCUUGUCCGAUAUGCAGUAUAGUCCUUAUUUAUCUCUGUGUCAAGUCUAUGUGCCAGUUUUCUUUUCUUUCAGGGCUUCUUUUUUAUCCCCUUUCAAAUCCUUUUCAUUCUCACUUUAAUUAAAUUUAAAGCUUUUUUUUUUUUUUAAAAAACUUGUUUUCUUUCUGCUAUUAAUCUGUCUUGUCCUUGUUUGCUUUAUUACUAAGUUUUCUUCUUUAGUGAGCCUGAUGUAGUAUAAUUAAAGUUAGAU